rnacentral:rRNA from 1 species
GUGGGGAAUAUUGGGCAAUGGGCGAAAGCCUGACCCAGCAACGCCGCGUGAGUGAAGAAGGCCUUCGGGUCGUAAAGCUCUGUCAUCAGGGACGAACGGCCGGUGGAGUGGAAAGCCACCGGAUUGACGGUACCUGAGAAGGAAGCCACGGCUAACUACGUGCCAGCAGCCGCGGUAAUACGUAGGUGGCAAGCGUUGUCCGGAAUUAUUGGGCGUAAAGCGCGCGCAGGUGGGAUCUUAAGUCCAUUUUUAAAGUUCGGAGCUCAACUCCGUGAUGGGAUGGAAACUGGGAUUCUUGAGUACCGGAGAGGAAAGCGGAAUUCCCCGUGUAGCGGUGAAAUGCGUAGAUAUGGGGAGGAACACCAGUGGCGAAGGCGGCUUUCUGGACGGUGUCUGACACUGAGGCGCGAAAGCCAGGGGAGCGAACGGGAUUAGAAACCCUGGUAGUCC